GCCGGGCGUGGUGGCGCACAUCUUUAAUCCCAGCACUUGGGAGGCAGAGGCAGGUGGAUUUCUGAGUUCGAGGCCAGCCUGGUCUACAAAGUGAGUUCCAGGACAGCCAGGGCUAUACAGAGAAACAGAGAAACCCUGUCUCAAAAAAAACCAAAAAAAAAAAAAAGACAGGAUCUUACUUUGUAGCCUUGUCUGGUCUAGAACUCAGUAUGUAGACCAGGCUGGCCCCCGAACUCACAGAGAUCUGCUUGCUUCU
rnacentral:sRNA from 1 species